CCCAACAAAUCACUAGGUCACCAGGCCACACUUAAAUGGAUUUGUUUCUUUGGUUUUUCAGUCAUGGUUAUCUGAGUGGUAUUCAUUCUCAUCUGCAGCAAAACAAGGCAACACAUAUUUCUCAAUGACAAGACUCAUUCCUGAUCUAUUAGUCAGUUCGGAUGGGAGAGAAGAGACUGGUUCAAAUCUACCAUCUAAUGAUGCUACAAAGUCCUCAAUGAAUACUGGAUCCAGUGUAUCCAGAGCUGUUUCUACGCCUUUCUUCUGCUUCUUAAUUCUGGAGUGAGACCUGAGGAAAAAUUGGUACUUGACUGACUGCAUCCAUGGUACCAGAAAAUACUAUGCAAGCUGCCAAAAGGAAGAAAGCAAUUAGUAGUUCUACUCAACUACAACAUCUAUAAACCACAACAAAAUAAUCACAAUGGUGAAAUAAAAUGGCAUUCACA